rnacentral:rRNA from 1 species
GAGUGAACGCUGGCGGUAGGCCUAACACAUGCAAGUCGAACGGCAGCACAGGAGAGCUUGCUCUCUGGGUGGCGAGUGGCGGACGGGUGAGGAAUACAUCGGAAUCUGCCCAGUCGUGGGGGAUAACGUAGGGAAACUUACGCUAAUACCGCAUACGACCUUCGGGUGAAAGAGGGGGAUCGCAAGACCUCUCGCGAUUGGAUGAGCCGAUGUCGGAUUAGCUAGUUGGCGGGGUAAUGGCCCACCAAGGCGACGAUCCGUAGCUGGUCUGAGAGGAUGAUCAGCCACACUGGAACUGAGACACGGUCCAGACUCCUACGGGAGGCAGCAGUGGGGAAUAUUGGACAAUGGGCGCAAGCCUGAUCCAGCCAUACCGCGUGGGUGAAGAAGGCCUUCGGGUUGUAAAGCCCUUUUGUUGGGAAAGAAAUCUUUCAGGCUAAUACCCUGGGAGGAUGACGGUACCCAAAGAAUAAGCACCGGCUAACUUCGUG